rnacentral:rRNA from 1 species
UACGGAGGGUGCAAGCGUUAAUCGGAAUUACUGGGCGUAAAGCGCACGCAGGUGGCUGAGUCAGUCGAUUGUGAAAGCCCUGGGCUUAACCUGGGAAUUGCAGUCGAUACUACUCAGCUAGAGUAUGGGAGAGGGCAGUGGAAUUCCCGGUGUAGCGGUGAAAUUCGUAGAUAUUCGCAAGAACACCAGUGGCGAAGGCGGCUCACUGGCCCGAUACUGACGCUGAGGCACGAAAGCGUGGGGAGCAAACAGG